GUGGGGAAUUUUGGACAAUGGGGGCAACCCUGAUCCAGCCAUGCCGCGUGCGGGAAGAAGGCCUUCGGGUUGUAAACCGCUUUUGUCAGGGAAGGAAUCCUUUGGGUUAAUACCUCGGAGGGAUGACGGUACCUGAAGAAUAAGCACCGGCUAACUACGUGCCAGCAGCCGCGGUAAUACGUAGGGUGCGAGCGUUAAUCGGAAUUACUGGGCGUAAAGCGUGCGCAGGCGGUUUUGUAAGAUCGAUGUGAAAUCCCCGGGCUCAACCUGGGAACUGCAUUGGUGACUGCAAGGCUGGAGGGCGGCAGAGGGGGAUGGAAUUCCGCGUGUAGCAGUGAAAUGCGUAGAUAUGCGGAGGAACACCGAUGGCGAAGGCAAUCCCCUGGGCCUGCACUGACGCUCAUGCACGAAAGCGUGGGGAGCAAACAGGAUUAGAAACCCCGGUAGUCC
rnacentral:rRNA from 1 species